rnacentral:rRNA from 1 species
GAUGAACGCUAGCGGGAGGCUUAACACAUGCAAGUCGAGGGGUAGGAGUAGCAAUACUUCGAGACCGGCGGACGGGUGCGUAACGCGUAUGCAACUUACCUUAAACAGGGGGAUAGGUCCCGGAAACGGGAAUUAACACCUCAUAAUCCAUUAUGAUUGCAUGAUUUAAAUGGGAAAACUGUGGUGGUUUAAGAUGGGCAUGCGUCUGAUUAGCUGGUUGGUAGGGUAACGGCCUACCAAGGCGACGAUCAGUAGGGGUUCUGAGAGGAUACACCCCCACACUGGUACUGAGACACGGACCAGACUCCUACGGGUGGCAG